UCUUGGAAUUAUCAUUAUUGGCCUUUAUAGGACGUGCAUGACUGAACAUCCUCUGAACGUUCUCUAUUUAACAGAAACUUACUGUAUAGGCAAUGUCCUAUGUACCUGGUCCAUAGUAACUCAUUUAGCUCUCAUAACUAGUCAAUGAGUUAGGUCCUGUCAUUACCUGCAUUUUACAAAUGAAGAAACAGACACAAAGAAUUUCAGUAACUUGUUUAACGUAAGUCACACAGCUAAGUGACAGAGCCAGGGUUCAAACCCAGACGUCUUGGUUAUGGAACCCACGCUCUGCAAUCCAUGCUGUCUCUCCAUGUCGAGUUUACCUUGACCAGAAUUGUUGCCAGAUUCUAAAGUCUGGGUAAGAAAGGCUGAGGAUGGGUUGGGCUGUGGCGUGCUACCUGUGCUCUUGAUUAUCUGGGGAACGACAUAUCUUUCCUUAUACCAACACGUCUUGCCUGGCCUCUACAUUUUCUUCUCUGGGAUAACGACUAUUCCAGCAGUUGUCUCAAUAUGGUAAUUACUGCUGGGGCAUUUCUCUUUUAUUAAGCAACAGAGAAGAACAGGUUGGAAAGGUCUCACAAAAAUGCAGGAUUCUGCUCUCAUUCUCAGCCUCUGAUCCAAGCAAGUCCGCAAAUAGAAAGAAUUCCCGAACAUGACAUGAAUAAAGCAAAGAAGUAAUUAUCUGGAUCAUCUCAACGGAGAUUUUCAAGGUACGGUGGAAGAAGGAAUGGCUUAUUACUUGCAGAAAGUUCAGGGUUUUGAAGAAUUCAAUAGAUCCAACAGAAGAGUAUCCUAACCCAAACUGCAGUGUACUUCUUUAGAAAACACCUGUUUUCCUUUGAAAUGGUGCCUUCACUUCAAAUUGUCAUCACUAGAAGUUGGAGGCAAAGCUCUCAGAAUACAGCUCCUUGCUUAAAGCCUUGCAACACUUUCUCUACAAUUUACAUAUUUUCUUGGACAGAAUUCUGAGCAGCAUCUUCUGGAUGUAUUGCUGCAGUAUCAUUAGGAAUUAUAUGUUUCAUUCUUUUGGGAAUAUCAGCAUUUUUGCAACUAAGUACUUUCAAACUUCUUGUAAAUAUCAGAAUAUGUUGGAUAAUCACACCCAGGAAUACGGGAACUCCAUGAUUCACAUGAAAAAUAGAUGCUUUUCAAAGGAUCACUUAAAUUCAGAAAAGUAUGGAGAAGCAUACAAAAACAAAUGGUCUUGUUGUGGAGAGAAAUGCUACUAUUUUUCUGACAAAGAUAAAAACUUUGAAGAGAGUCAUAAAUUCUGCAUCAUCCUUGGCUCGCAUCUUUUGAACAUAGAGGAUAAGGAUGAACAGAUAAUGAGUUUUGAAAUGGGUUCUCUCUUCACAGAAACUUCUUCAAUCUUGAGUGUCUUAUUUUUACUGGAUUGGAUUAUCUAGAAAAGGAAUUGUCAGCCCCGCAAUGUGGGAAGAUGGUUCCUUGAUGCAUUAUAGUUUGCCUCUACAAGGUUCAAAUAUAAACAACAACAACUGUGUGUAUAUCACAGCAACUAAAGUGGCCGCUGGUCCCUGUACCAGGCAGUUUUUCUUUAUUUGUGAGAAUUAUACUAAAUUUGAUCUCAAAUUGAGUGAAGAUAAAUGAAGUAAUGAACAAUCUGGUGCAUCUACUUUUUACCUGCGGGAUGCAGCUGGAUUUCCCUGCAACAUAUUGUAUCCGUUAUAUACUUUGUGAAGAAAUGACCAAUACAUCUGAAUUAUUUUGGAAUUGAGGUUCAGGAAACACACCUUGUGAAAUCACGAUGGACUAUGACAUGACUACACACAUUCUCCUUUUUCUGGGAAGUAUAUUAGUACCUUCAGAUAGAAUGAGUCUCAUUUCUGUAACUUCCAUUUUAUCACUUUUAGGUUUCAAAAAUUUUCACAAUUAAUAUAAUUAAUAGUUGAAAAAUAAAAUAGAAGUAUAUUGAACAAAAACUGACUCUACAUUCCCUUCUAAUUUCUUCAUGUCUCCAGUGUUCACUGUUAAUUUGGUUUGUAUCUUUCCAAACAUUUUUUUCUAGCAUUUACUACAAAUAGUGCAUGAACCUUUACUAUGUAUAUAUCUCUGUGAAUGUACCUAAAUAUUUCUAUAAAGUAGAAAUCUAGAAAAGAAACUGAGAUGUCAAAUUGUAUGCAUCUUUAAAAUCAUGAUUAUAAGUAAAUAUCUACCUUCUAAAAAUGUUGUCAGUUAGCACUUACACCUAUUUUUUCAAA